rnacentral:rRNA from 1 species
UACGUAGGGGGCUAGCGUUGUCCGGAAUCAUUGGGCGUAAAGCGCGUUGUAGGCGGCCCGGUAAGUCCGCUGUGAAAGUCGGGGGCUCAACCCUCGAAUGCCGGUGGAUACUGUCGGGCUAGAGUGCGGAAGAGGCGAGUGGAAUUCCUGGGUGUAGCGGUGAAAUGCGCAGAUAUCAGGAGGAACACCUAUUGCGAAGGCAGCUCGCUGGGACGUAACUGACGCUGAGACGCGAAAGCGUGGGGAGCAAACAGG